rnacentral:rRNA from 1 species
AGCGUCAAAGCUUUCCUACCGUCUUCUCUAAUUUCUUAAAUUUUACGGAGCCCGAUAGUAUUAUUGAGUCCUUCUAUACCCCUAUAGAAGUGUUUAUGUUAAAACUAGUAACACAGAAUUACUUCUCUCUAUGUGAGUGUAAAUCAAACUGAAUAAAUCACUGAUAAUUACUCAGUAAUGAAGCCACUGUAGCAACCUCGCUAGAAAACCCUACAACCUCCGCACUGUUAACCUAACACAAGAACAUUAAAGAAAGAUUAAAAGAUAAGGAAGGAACUCGGCAAAUCUAAGUCCCGCCUGUUUACCAAAAACAUCGCCUUUUGCUUACUAUAUUAGGUAAUGCCUGCCCAGUGACCAUGUGUUCAACGGCCGCGGUAUUCUGACCGCGCGAAGGUAGCGUAAUCACUUGUCUUCUAAAUAAAGACCAGUAUGAACGGCUUCACGAGGACUUGACUGUCUCCCUUAUCCAAUCAGUUAAACUAAUCCCCUCGUGCAGAAGCGAGAAUAAACCCAUUAGACGAGAAGACCCUAUGGAGCUUUAAACUUAAUAUUAAUUAUUGUUACCACCUCUUAACGAGAAGCAAGCAAAUAAAAUUUUAACUUAAUUUAAGUUUUGGGUUGGGGCGACCAUGGAGGAAAAAGAAUCCUCCCUGAUGACUUUUAAUUAA